GUCCACAGCCAUGUCACCCUGUAUGAGCCCGAGCCUGUCUGAUCUCAAGCUAAGCGCGGGGUCAGGCCUGGUUAGUCCUUGGAUGGGAGACCACCUAGGAAGACCAGGUGCUGUAGGCG
rnacentral:rRNA from 1 species